rnacentral:lncRNA from 1 species
UGAAAUUGUUUUACUGUAAAGCGUCACAUAUAUAAGUCUAUUGAAAGUGUUGUUACGUUUCAUAUGUUGUACUGUUCGUAAAUGAUAAUGCUAUGUUGUCUAUUAAGUCCACGGCACAUAAAGUGUUUUCUAGCAUAAUAUAUUGUAUAUAAUAUAUACUGUCUUUUAAGUUUAUUGAAAGGAUAUUCCUAUCAUUGGUUAAUUUGUACUGUUCUACUAUAAAAUUGAUUUCUCUUUUCACGAUUUGUACUGUCUAUUAAGUCUAUUGAACGUGUGUUCCUAUCUUUGGUUAAUUUGUACUGUUCUACUAUAAAAUUGAUUUCUCUUUUCACGAUUUGUACUGUCUAUUAAG